CGGCCAGGGUCUGCCGUUACCAACGAUGACCCUGGAGCAACUAGGGUUAAAGGUCCAGUGCAGUAAAAAAAUAAAAAAUAAAAUAUAUUUUCCUAAUUUUAUACACACACACACUGAUGUUGGAGUAAAACUCUGAAAAUGAUGUCAGCCUGUUUUGGUGGGAUGGAAUUUUGGCCUGCCUUGUGUCAUCUCUUUAUUAAGAAGCAAUUAUUGGGGGGGACCAUUUUCAUUGAAAACAUUCACAGUAAGGUACUUAAUUGUUACCCAGAAAUGUGAUAUUGCUCAAGGGCACAUAAACAGAUUCUUCACCUUGUCAGUUCAGGGUUCAAACUAGUGACCUUUCCGUUAUUGGCCCAGCGCUUUAACCACUAGGCUACCUGCCGCCUCCCACCCACAUUUAACCUUUUGAAAAGGGGGAAGAGGAAAAGAGGAGACGAGCAAAACCAAUUGAGAAUCUCCCUUGGUCCUCUCCACAGGGUUCUGACAAGAGCCACAAUAUGGUCCUCAGAGCCUCGCUUCCACUGGCAACACAAAAGGAAUGACUCCACCACAUAAAAAUGUUACACGUUACUAAUAAUAAGAACAAGAUAUGGUCAAACAAAAAUUUUCUUACUUUAAUACCAUACUGCAUAUACUAUGAUUACAGUUAAACAAUAAUAACAACAACAAGCCAAUACAUACUUUAACCUCUCCAAUGAACUGGUGUGUGUGUGUGUGUGUGUGUAAGGAUGAGCAUAAGUGUUUGGGGAAACUGGUUGGAUACAAUAGUACUGAAGGAAUUAAUACCACAUGUUUUCCUCGCCACCGUGCUUCUACACCUGCAUUGCUUGCUGUUUGGGGGUUUUAGGCUGGGUUUCUGUACAGCACUUUGUGACAUCUGCUGAUGUAAAACGUGCUUUAUAUAUACAUUUGAUUGAUUGAUGUUGCUUUCCAUUAAGGCACUGACAGUCCUGAUUAAUUAACCAAAUUGCAUAAUGAAAUCAGAAGCAUUACCCUAAGAAUAUCUGAAGCUGCUUGAGAGUUGCUAUCACUGAAUUUAAAUGACUUACUAAAGCCAACGUGCUUUCCUAAAAUAACGGCAGUGAAAAUGUUGGUCCCUAAUUAUCACAUUAUGUAAAUAAAAUAUCAAUUAGGGGUCAACAUUAAGAAAGAUUGUUUGAAAUGGAUUCUUAUUAAGGAAUAUUUUACUAGGUAGCUACAUUUAAGCCAUUUAUAUCUAACAUGAUUUACUGUACCAGACAAACCGACAGGAUCAGAGAAACAGACAGAAUCAGAGGCAGAUACCCCUCCUACUCGUGCAGACAACCCUUAAUGAUCUUUCCCAUUCUGACUGAACCCUACAGGAACUUUUUUAGAAGCCUGGUUCUGUCCUGGUUAAGGUUCCACUGAGGAAGGCUGUCAGUUUCCCAUCAGGCACUGUGGCACUGUCAAAAGGAAACCAGUAGUUAAACUCAAGAUGACCAAAAGGCCAUGGCAUCAUACCAUUAUGACCUAUGAAAUAAUAUAUAUUCUUUAAACAAAUCUUGACUUUUCGGUUGUCCAAGUGCUUUUUUUUGUUGCAAAUAUGAAUAAAGACAUGCCUAGUAUUUCACCCACACAACAAACAGGCCUAUUCAUGGCAGUGAGAUUAAAAAUCCCACUUUAAGAUCAAAUCGAAGAUCACCAUCUGAGUUGAGUGCAUUGUAAACAAAAAGGUUUGGUUGUAAAAAUUUAAGUUUUUAGAGAAAUUCGGGAACAUAAUGGAUGAAGAUUACAUUGAGAAAAAAACAGAAGCAUGGAAGGGUCUUGUAUGAACACUGUUGCACGGCAGGGAUCAGGUCAGUUCCAAUUACUUUCAUCAAUUAAAAUUACAUUCAAGAUGUUA
rnacentral:lncRNA from 1 species